GCUUGUCAUGUGGUUAAAAUCAAGAUUCACUUGCACGUUCACUCAUACAUGCUACUUCUACUCCGGAAGUACCAUCCACAUAUAUCCACUCAUUUCCAUCUCCACAUUCACCCGAAAUUAUUCUACUCCUAAUCCGGGAGAGAAUAGCCAAAAACAUUUUCCUAUCCCUGUUAUUCCCUAUGAAAUAAAUGCUCGAGUUAUCUUGGUUACUACCACUUGCUACAUUAUCUCAGGAGAUGAGUGCUCUAAAAAAACAAAAGGAGAAGAAAAAAAGAAAAAAAAUACGAGGAAAUAAAAAGGGGCAAGUGCCCGGAACCUCGAAGGAAAAGAAAAAGAGUGAGACGAGAGGUAAAAAAUGGACAAGUGUCCGACCGUAGAAUUAGGGGUACAAGAUACCCACCUGAGAGGAAAGAAAAAAAAUAUAGAGCAUCUCAUACUCCCAAAAAAAAGCUUCAAAGUGCAAGAAAGGUAUGUAUCCCCUCAAAAGAGCAAAAGUAGAAUUAGACUUUCACCAUUAUUAUCACCAUCAUCACCAUACACCAUUCAUUCGCCACACAUGCACAUCUUGAUUUGACUUAUUGACUUGUUUCUCUGGAUCCAUGGUUUGACUAUGCAAUAAAUGUCUUGUAAGUAUGUAUUAGCUGUCUCCCACCUAUGAGCUCUAGAUAUCAAAACCUUAUUAGAGUAGGAUGAGAAAGAAGGCAAUAUCACUAUGCAUUACACCAAAAAUACCACAUACUUUGAGAGAAGGCAUAUACCAUUACUGCCUUGGUAAGGAUCCAGAAAUACACAAAAGAGAGAUAUGAGAGAGUCAUACAAGGAAUCUCUGAGUUUUAUUUGAAAAUCUGCAAAAACCCCAGAGCUAUAGCUGAUCAAGAAGAAGAGACAUGGCGCUUGACUUGACCGUUCUAUCUUUUAACUGCUCAAGACACAAGUAACGGUUACAAGCCCCAUGGUGAAAGGUAAAAUGAGUAAGUUUUAAGUCUUAACAGUUUAUUCUAACUCAGAGAUGAGAUCUUGCUUGAAUGCGUGUGUACUUUUAAGGCAUGAAACCACUGCAGAAACUCUUGAGUUCAUCCUUGCUCAGGGACGAGCAAGAGGUAAGCUUGGGGGAGUUUGUUGAUGGUCCUUAAGUAUCAAAUUUAAUUAUCAAAUAAACAAAGAAAAGGAUCCAAAUGAAAUCAACAUCUAGACUUAGGGUUUUAUCUGACUGAAUUCCACGAGUUUUGGUGUUUGUCUAUUUCUGCAGGGGGUUAUCAGGAAAUAAGGAAGAAAGGCCCACAUGUCAGGAUUACAUAGAGAUAUCAACGCACCGCGCAAUUUUCUACCAUCUAGAAGACUCUAGAAGCCACGGGAAGAAAGCAGAGGCCGAAAGGGGCCAGGCCCAGGGCGCCCGCCCUAAGGACCUAGGCGCCCACCCACCUCUGGAAGCCUUUCGGGACUCUCUUCGCACACGAUGUUCCACCGAACUAUUGGAUCAAGGAAAACAUAGUACCACUUCGCCUACCGACCCAAAAACGCAUAGAGGAGGACUAUAUAAGGAGACCCCCCUGGCCCCUCGAGGAGACAAGAAAUUAUCAUAGAGAUUGAGGGGUGCCCUCGAAGGAAAACGUCUUCUCUAAAUAAUAUUUCUUUUUAGGCUUAGCAACCAAUGUAAAGUAGAAAUAGAUCUUCUAGUUUCUACUAGAUUGAGAGAGAUAGAGUGGAGGUGUGGAUCGGAGGAAGGCUGGCCUGUCGGUAUCUACUCCGAGUUGUACCUGCGGGAUCAAGUCUCCUAACUCGAGGCUUGCUUCUAAGAUUCUUCAGUAAUUCGACUUCUAAUUCUAGUAAGUUCUUGUUUUAUUAUUCUUUGGUUUAUGAGUUUACUUUAAUCCUCCUCCGGUUGAGUAUUAGAGUAAUCACUUACUAGCGUAAACGUGGUGUUUAGGCUAGGGUACUCAUAGAUAUCCCCUGACUAGCUGGACCGUGGUAGUAGCGAGGAACGUGACAUUUCUGAGUUACCUUUGUAUCCCAUAUCUUGUUAGCAGGACGGGUAGGUUUAUAGGUGCGGGUCGAACAUCCUUUGUGUUGUCUAGAUUCCGUGAGCCUCCCCAAUAGAACAGUAGAUCAUCCUUACCAAGGUUAGAACGAGCCUCCCCAAUAGAACAGUAGAUCAUCCUUUGCAGUCUUCUCUAUACAUCACUCACAUCGAGAGACAUUCUUUGUAGCCUAAAGGGAUAGUAGCAAUAGAUUUGAUUAGUCAGAUGCACCCUUUCUCCCAGUGGUAAAAAUAUAAAUACGAUAACACUGGAUAACUUCCCGGGUGAAAUGCUCACCGAUAUUCAUGCGCUUGUGGAUCAUUUCCUUAUUGCGUUACCAAAUAUCAACAAAGAACACGAGUGCUCAAGCUACUUGUAGGGUACCACGACCUAGGUACAUUGAAUGCACGAAGGCAUUCCUAGGGUUCUUAGCAGUGCGGUUGUCACCACGAGAACCAAAGAAAUGCAAUGGUCGAAUAGGUACAAGCAUACAAGAGUUUAAGCACAAAGAACCAAAAAGGCGGGAAAAUACACGGGUUUCACUUUCCAUUGACCCACUUGCCAUAGCAACGGCGGAAAUCACGAAAUUGGAAACAAAACAUCAAACAAGCAAAAGGACUCAAUCCGCAUCUUACUAGAUCGACGGGGAUUGAGAUCAAGAGAGAAGAACGAAAUCACACUCUUCCAACCAACACGCCAUAGAACGAAAAACGGUUGGUUAAAAGAGAUACGACCCCACAAUCUACUCCAACUCAUAACACUUCAUGACCUAGGUGCUUCUGCGGCACAAGGUCAUUCCUAUAGUUCCAGCUGAUGCGGUUGUCAUCGCGGGAACUAGGGGAAAUGUCCGAGUCUAGGUGGCAUAAGCAUACGAGACGGAAUAAAUAAACACGCGAGAAAAUAGGAUAAGCUCGAUGGCCAUGGCGAGGCGACUCGCGGCCAUGGGCUUCACCUAACAAGUUGGCUUCCGACUGUUAUACAAAGGUUGCUCCUAAUCUGUAUCCCACUAGACUAGAUCACAGAGGUCUCGAGUGUGCGGUUAAGAACCGCGUCGAUAAAGACAUCGAGUCCACGAUGACCACGUCUGCAAGACAAGAACAAGAGCUAACGACUGUAGCGCGACAGAGUCAACUGAACACAGGAAACGAGUUACGCUCGGCAUCACGAUCACGGCGGGACGAACCCACGAUCGAAACGAUCAAGUGCACUACCACUUCCCCGACCGGCUCGAAGGCUCAGUCCUCAGGCAAAUAACAAAAGAAAGAAUGACGACAACCCGAGAGAAGGGAUAUGCUUGGCACUAUGACCAUGGCGAGACAAACUCGCGAUCGCAACAUUCAAACACAUCAUUCUCUCAACCGGCUCGAAGGCACGGUUCACAACCAACCAACCACACCACACAAGAACCAACACACAAAGAACCACAAUGUCGCGACCAACACAAGACAAAAUAGAGUAGCACAUUUCCAUAACGUCCAACAGAGAUAGAUAAACAGAUAGAUAAUAGACCGGCACGAAGGCACGACACAGGCAUAGAAUAAAUAGAUCAUGUGAAAGGCGUACGACAUGUAUGAACGAUGAUAGAAAGAUGUACAAAAGCAAAAGGGGUUUUUUCGUCGGCGUCGACUAGGGUUCGACCUUGGUGGCGAGGAUGGCAGAGGGCUUCUAUAGCUUGGUUGCGGCUCGGCAAAGGCGGAGCUGGAGGAGAAGGCUUGGGGUUCGGCAACGCUUCGCAGGUUCGGCGCUCUGACAGCAGCGAUGUCUUAAGUCCAGCGGCUCCGACAAGUGGCACAGCGUGGCUGCAGCAUCCCUGCACAGUGAAGAACAUGGCACGAAGGCCGGUCUCAGCGAGGCAAAAUAGGAAGUUAACAAGUAGGGCACUUGCGCACUGGUGGCUCACUGGCGACAGAGACAGACUUGGUGAGGGCGCGUCGAGGCGAGGGCGAGGUAGCAGGGUGACCGUGGUCACCGCGUCCAGCGUCGCACGGCCAGGGUGACGACGUCGCGGUCCCAAGGGAGGUACGACAUCGGCGUGGAUGCAGCAAGGCCACGGCCUUGGGCUUGGGGGCGAGGCAUGGCGAGGAGGUGCUGGUGGCUCGGUAGGGGUCGGGGCAGAGCACAACAUCGUCGUGGUGGCACAGACCGGCAUCGGGGUUGGGGUCGCGGGUGCGUCGGGGCGAGGGCGAGGCCGACACGGCGCGGCCGCGGCUUGUGGACGACGGCGUCGCGAGGUUGGGGCUCGGCGCAGCGAGGGUGCGGAGGCGGCUCACGAGCUCCGGGGGCGAGCCGAGGUGCGGGCGAGGUUGGGGUUGAGGCACUUGGCGCGGUGCGGUCGUGGUUGUGGCAUCAUGCUCCGGCGGGGGUGCGGAGCUCUUGCUCGGCGUCGAGGUCGUGGCGAGGUCGAAGAUGCGGAUACGGACGCGGAGGGGCGCCAUGCUCGCGGUGCUGGCCGUGACGCGGCCACGGCAAGGUCCCGGUCGCGGGCGUGGCCUGCCGCUGCCCGCGGUCGUCGUCGUGGCGGCUUCGGCGGCGUGGUAGAGCAGCAGCGGGGUGAGGACGACGUGGUGCUCAUCGGCGUCCGUGCCACGGAGGCAGAGGGCGCGAUGCGGGUGCCGGGGCGCGGUGCGUGCUCUUCUGGCGACGGCGUCGGUGCUCCUGGGAGCCAGGGGGCGCGGGCGCACCAGCAGUGGCGCCGGCUCGGGCUUUUAUACGUGUCGUGGCCUAGGGUUCUAGGGGUGCUAGGCGCUACAGGCGGUGAUCCUCGGCGUCCGUGCCAUUGGGCGGGCCGCGUGGCGCACAUCUGGCAGCAGCACGGGCGCCCAGGGCACGAGUGCGGCGCUGCAGGGGCGUGACGGCGGGGCUCAGGAGGAGUAGGGGCGUGCUCUCCCUAGGGUUCGGGUGCCGGGGCGUCACUCCUAGGCCAAGCGUGGCCGGGCCAAGUUCUGGGUCGGGGCAGGUAGAUGGGCCGCGCGCAGGGGGCAGAGGGGGAAGGUGGCCCAGGCGGGGAGGAGAUGCCGACUAGGCCUUAGUGCGCGGGAUGGGCCUGGGGUGCGCGGCUCUGGGCCUGGCAGGCCUCCAGCUUGGCCAAGGGGAAGGGGAGGGCGCCGGUUGGGCCAAGGGAAGGAGGCAGUGGGGGGCUGGGCUUGUCAUUGCGAGCUGGGCCGAGGAGAGGAGGCAGGGGAGCUGGGCCGACGGGGGCUGGGGAGGCCGAGGCCUGGCUGGGCUAGGAGAAGAAGUGGGAGGAAGAGGAAAGGUUUUGGCCCAAGAGAGAAAGAAUGCUUUCCCAAAUAUGAAAAAGGAUUUUAAGGUUUAUUCAAAUGGAUAUUUGAAAUGAAUUCAGAGGAUUAUGUGAGAGAGAUUCAAGGAGAGAUUUGAAGGGGUUCAAGAGAGGAACCAAGCAGGCGAGAAAGAUCAUGAAGGGUUAGAAGGAGUUCGAAAGGAAUUGAAAGGAGUUUGAGACGUACUCCAAUGAGAAGGUUGAGAAAGGAUUCACUUCGCCUUUGAGACAGGCUCAACGAAGAUUCGGGAAGACUUUGCUAUGGAUUUGUGCACUCCAAAGAAACUCAAAACCCUAAAUAAGACUAAACACUAAUCCGACUCACGAACAAAGCACUUGCCUACAAGCAAUUCUAUAUGGAUGCAACGAUUUGUUAGCGGGUUAGGAUCGAUUUUUCACCUAGAAACUAUAUGAUUCACACAAUUCUAGGAAAAAUUUUAAAAAGCUCGUAUUUUUGGUUUACGCAAAAUUCUAGGAUGUUACAGUCCACCCUCCUUACAGGAAUCUCGUCCCCGAGAUUUAGGCGUUGCUCGGGCGGUGAAGAAGCAAGGGUGCUAUUCUCGAAGUUCCUCUUACUUCUGAGUUGUUUCACUUUAGUGUGAUCGCUCCACAAACUUUUUCCAAAAUAGGAAUGAGUCAUGUUUCGGGUGUAUCCAAGGCUCACUCGCGGGUGCUGGGUAUCCAAAUUCUUACAACAAGGCGAUAGGUAUCCAAGAAUCGCACCAGGUUGAUGAACAUCGGGCUCUUAAAGUUGAGACUAUUGUUAGUUGACCUAGAUCACCGUGCUCAAACCUUCCUAUUCGCUUGCUUGUUACUCUUCCAUGGAGUGGCAUCCGGUCAACAAAGGGUAGGGCAGGCUCAUGUUAGUUAGGGUUGUUGGCUUUCACAGCCGUUUUUCGUGCAUCACUUUUUGGAAAAAGCUUUUGAAAGGAAUGUUUUUUGGAAAAACAGGUUUCAUAAAUGGAGUGAAAGCGUUACAAAGUCAAAGGGGUUUUAAAGAUAGCUCAAACUGAAAAGAGCUUUUGAAAAGGGUUGAAAUCAACGCAAAUUUUGAAAACCAAAUUGAUUUAUUUUACUAUUUUAUUAUUAUUAUUAUUAUUUAAAAGAUUUUUUUAUGUAAAAGAUUUCAAAUCAAGAGACUUUGAAACUCUUUUAGUUUUCCAAAUGAGGUGUUGCUCUCUUUUAUUUGAAUUAAACAAACUAGUUUUGAAAAUGACUAGAAAUCAUUUCUCAUUUUGAAAGAUAAAGUUUUAACAACAAUAGCAUUUUCUUUUAAAACUUGUAAGUUCAUUUUCUUUUUGCCAAAUUUUUGUAAGGUCGCAAACAAAAAUCUUUUCGCGAUGGUUUUUGUUUAAUAAAUCACUGGAAAUUCCUUUUUCUUUUAAGGCAAGGUUGAAUUUUAAAAGGAAUUUGGCUCUUGAGAUAAAAUCAAAGACCUUUGAAACGAAACUGAGCCAAAGUUCUUUGGUUUGAAAACACUUUGUUGAUGAAAAAGCAAAACUUUUGUUUUUCUGAAGCGAUUUUGUCAUACUUUUUGCAAAAUGACUUGUUUUAAACCGUUUCAUAAAUAGCGUUUGAAUAAGGUUGAGUUGAAAGGGGAGUUAAAAUUGUUUUCUUUGUGAAAAGGAAGGAUAUUGAGAGAGUUUUGAAACACUUUCCCUUUUGAAACCAAGAUGUUUUUGUUAAAGAGGGGAUAUUUUAACCAAAAGGAGAGAAAAAUUUUCAACCAAAGGGGGCAAUUUGAAGACAAGUUUAGUUGGAAGCCAAAAACAGUUUUGAAAUAGAUGGGCAAGACAUGAUGCAUCAGCUUUACACCCUUUUUCAGCUCUGUUAGCCAGGGUCACCUAUCUAUUCUCAGGACGGUCUUAGGUUUAGUCGGCUAGAUUGGACGGGAUCCAGAGUCUUACUCGCAUAAAACAGGUUCUAUGACCUACACUCAAACAACAAGAAGCAGAAGAAACACAACAACAUAAAUUCCAAGCACUCAAACAGCAUUACCACUCCUAAUGCAUAGUGUUGACUUGAGGCGACUCACAGACCUUCAAAGUCUCACACGACUACCGAUCUAGCGUGGGCGGGUAUGGGAAAAGAUUCCAACGGUCAACUUUAUGAAAUAGGGAGGUCAGUUAGCAGUAGAAUUCAAGGUGGAGGGGGAAACAAGCGUUAGCAUCUAUAACUCUACAAAAGAUAGAAUGUUUGGCCUCUAAACUAGUGUUUGGUCCUAAAGGUCUCGUCCUAGGGUCAAGUAUGGCUCUGAUACCAACUGAAACGACCUAGAUUUUUCCACAAAGGGAAAAAUCCACAGAUUCGAAUUAUAAUGUGAUAAUUCAGAAAUUGAGCCAUCACAUUAUCAUAUAUCAGUUGUUAUCAUAGUCAUACAUCAUGAAAAACAAGAUUACAACACAUUUACUUUACAACUCUUGGUCAACAAGCCUAUUACAUCGUUUUUCUAGCGAAAACACACAUGGGUCUUUAUCAGAGUUGAUGUAGCGCGUCAGCGGUGAAGGCUCCACCUUCACGGGCAAUCAUCAGAGUCGGCGUAGUUUAUCAGCGGGCGUAGCCUUCAUCUACGAACCAAACUUGAGCGCAGGAACGAGACCACCUAAUCCUUCUAUUCUCCGUAGUUAUCGUCACACACCACGUUCAGAACCUGCUAAACAAUUUUCAGUACGGUUUGUACUGGCCACUGGCUCCCACCCUAUGCUUUUGCGUAAGCUUUGUGGUAAGUGGAAUGCAAAGGUAGAUCAAGAGGCCUAUAUAUAUGGCUGUAGUUUUUCCUAUGCAAGUUCAUCAAUCUUUAAUAAUAAUAAUUCAUCAAGUUUUAAUCCAUCUCAUCGACACAUCCAUCCAUCCAUACCAUCACACACAUCUCACCACACUCUCACUCUCUAGGCGGCAAGUACGACUCCCGCUCGUGCCUUGCCUCAACGGCCAACGCCGGAUCCAACGCAAACCCACGGGAAGGUAGAAACGACUCCUCUCUCUUGUCAAGUGAAGCUGUACUUAGGAAAGGUCCAUAGCCGACGAGUCGGCAUAUGUAUCGAUCGAUCAACCAAACUCUUCAGAGGUUUACAUUAACCACAAGAUCACCAUCAUCGACGGUGGCCCCCGUCUAGGCUGAUUCCGAGCUGCCUCCCAACUAAAUACGAUGCCACCCUACCACUCAGAACUGGGGCCAUACCGGAGUACCACCGGCAUGCUGAGACUGUGAGGCGUAGUAUCGGGCCCCAAAGGUCACUACGCUGUCUUAGGAGGGUGUGGGUCCUCAUGCCCGUACCUCCCUACACUAUCUGCUAUCAACCUAGUAGUAGUGGCACCGCACUAGCUGGUCGUACAUCCGUCCCGCACCAUAAUAAGGCGAGUGGCGUGUAAGGCUUCCUAAGACCCGGUCCACAGAACAUCUCAGUCCUUAGGGUGACCAAACAGGACAUCUUCACGAGGGGCCAACCGAUGCCCCGCUUGACGGGACAUCCGGCUACCCCGUGCUAAACAGCACCUCCCAUCCCGACGCUUCGUCCCACGAAGACACUCCACUCCGGGACCUCUCCCUGUCACAUGUACCCGCCAUAGGUAUCUCACAUGGAGAAUGCCCAGGUAGCGUCCCCCGGCAAGACUUGUCCCAAGACUCGUCGUAGAUCCUGUUCGGUCGACUCAACCCUCACCACACACCCAAGACACACGCCAAGAUCUCCCCAAAUCCUUUACCAUCUCAUUAUCCAGUUAUUGGCACCACGUGCCUUAUCCACUCACAUCCAAUCUCCCACAUUGCAUCACAUCACAGAUAUAAUGCGUAGUAGAAGCAGUAGCAAGUAGUAUGCAAGCAUCUAACCUGACAGCGGGUGUGCGAGGGUUAUAGGUUGCAACAAGGCAAUGGCUCACAAGCAUUUCUAUCAUGCAACCUAUCUCAGUUCAUUUGCAUAAAAGUAAAGCACUAGCAUCUACAUUAUUGCAUGUCUAAUAGGAUUCUACGAGGUUGGGUGGGACGUGGCACCUGUCGAAUGACAUUUCCCAGAUAAACAGUUCGCUUGUAGUUGUACUCAUCCAAGAUCCUUCUUUCCGCAUGUCUUUUCUUCAACGAGUCCCGAUCCGAUCAACGCUAACCUCGAAGCGACUACCUCGAAAGCGACAAACAAGGCGAAACAAUCAGACCGCUAGACCUAGAAAGACUGCAAAAAGAGGCAACAAAACACUUAAGAACAACUACACUAAGAGAGCACCGAAAUGAUAACAACUUGGCCCUCUCAGCGGAUGUCUGAUCCCUGGGCUAAAUAGGAAUGGCUGUUCACUAAGUACAAGUCAGAGUCUUAGCCUAGCCGAUGCUUCCCGGGUCAACUAAGUCAACCUUUACGACUUUAAUAAAUGGCUUAGACUCUAACUCAUUCUAAGCAAACACCACGGCUUACGGUCUUCCGAUCCAAGUGUCAUAGAGAUCGACGGGAAUCGAAAAGACUAUGAGCACGAGAAGUUCCGGUCUCUCUCAAUCCAUACGCCAUUGUAGUUGGCGAGAGCCAAGAGAGGGUGGAACAAAGAGAAAAGAAAAAGGGAGUGGUCUACUUCUUCCCAUCCACUCGCCAUGGUAAGAGACGGGGAAUUAGAAAGAGUGACACACCAAGAACACGAGUGCUCAAGCUACUUGUAGGGUACCACGACCUAGGUACAUUGAAUGCACUAAGACAUUCCUAGGGUUCUUAGCAGUGCGGUUGUCACCACGAGAACCAAAGAAAUGCAAUGGUCGAAUAGGUACAAGCAUACAAGUGUUUAAGCACAAAGAACCAAAAAGGCGGGAAAAGACACGGGUUUCACUUUCCAUUGACCCACUUGCCAUAGCAACGGCGGAAAUCACGGAAUUGGAAACAAAACAUCAAACAAGCAAAAGGACUCAAUCCGCAUCUUACUGGAUUGACGGGGAUUGAGAUCAAGAGAGAAGAACGAAAUCACACUCUUCCAACCAACAUGCCAUAGAAUGAAAAACGGUUGGUUAAAAGAGAUACGACCCCACAAUCUACUCCAACUCAUAACACUUCAUGACCUAGGUGCUUCUGCGGCACAAGGUCAUUCCUAUAGUUCCAGACGAUGCGGUUGUCAUCACGGGAACAAGGGGAAAUGUCCGGGUCUAGGUGGCAUAAGCAUACGAGACGGAAUAAAUAAACAGGCGAGAAAAUAGGAUAAGCUCGAUGGCCAUGGCGAGGCGACUUGCAGCCAUAGGCUUCACCUAACAAGUUGGCUUUCGACUGUUCUACAAAGGUUGCUCCUAAUCUGUAUCCCACUAGACUAGAUCACAGAGGUCUCGAGUGUGCGGGUAAGAACCGCGUCGAUAAAGACAUCGAGUCCACGAUGACCACGUCUGCGAGACAAGAACAAGAGCUAACGACUGUAGCGCGACAGAGUCAACUGAACACGGGAAACGAGUUACGCUCGGCAUCACGAUCACGGCGGGACGAACCCACGAUCGAAAUGAUCAAGUGCACUACCACUUCCCCGACCGGCUUGAAGGCCCAGUCCUCAGGCAAAUAACAAAAGAAAGAAUGAUGACAACCUGAGAGGAGGGAUAUGCUUGGCACUACGACCAUGGCGAGACAAACUCGCGAUCGCAACAUUCAAACACAUCAUUCUCUCAACCGGCUCGAAGGCACGGUUCACAACCAACUAACCACACCACACAAGAACCAACACACAAAGAACCACAAUGUCGCGACAAACACAAGACAAAAUAGAGUAGCACAUUUCCAUGACGUCCAACAGAGAUAGAUAAACAGAUAGAUAAUAGACCGGCAUGAAGGCACGACAAAGGCAUAGAAUAAAUAGAUCAUGUGAAAGGCGUACGACAUGUAUGAACGAUGAUAGAAAGAUGUACAAAAGCAAAAGGGGUUUUUUUGUCGGCGUCGACUAGGGUUCGACCUUGGUGGCGUGGAUGGCAGAGGGCUUCUAUAGCUUGGUCGUGGCUCGGCAAUGGCGGAGCUAGAGGAGAAGGCUUGGGGUUCGGCAACACUUCACAAGUUUGGCGCUCGGACAGCAGUGAUGUCUUAAGUCCAGCGGCUCCGACAAGUGGCAUAGCAUGGCUGCAGCAUCCCUGCACAGUGAAGAACACGGCACGAAGGCCAGUCUCAGCGAGGCAAAAUAGGAAGUUAACAAGUAGGGCACUUGCACACUGGUGGCUCACCGGCGACAGAGACAGACUUGGUGAGGGCACGUCGAGGCGAGGGCGAGGUAGCAGGGUGACCGUGGUCACCGCAUCCAGCGUCGCACGGCCAGGGUGACGACGUCGCGGCCCCAAGGGAGGUACGACAUCAGCGUGGAUGCAGCAAGGCCAUGGCCUUGGGCUUGGGGGCGAGGCAUGGCGAGGAGGUGCUGGUGGCUCGGUAGGGGUCAGGGCAGAGCACGACAUCGUCGUGGUGGCGCAGACCGGCAUCGGGGUCGGGGUCGCUGGUGCGUCGGGGCGAGGGCGAGGCCGACACGGCGCGGCCGCGGGUUGCGGACGACGGCGUCGCGAGGUCGGGGCUCGGCGCGGCGAGGGUGUGGAGGCGGCUCACGGGCUCCGGGGGCGAGCCGAGGUGCGGGCGAGGUUGGGGUCGAGGCACUUGGCACGGCACGGUCGUGGUUGUGGCGUCGUGCUCCAGCGGGCGUGCGGAGCUCUUGCUCGGCGUCGAGGUCGUGGCGAGGUCGAAGACGCGGAGGGGCGCCGUGCUCGUGGUGCUGGCCGUGACGCGGCCACGCCGAGGUCCCGGUCGCGGGCGUGGCCUGCUGCUGCCCGCGGUCGUCGUCGUGGCGGCUUCGGCGGUGUGGCAGAGCAGCAGCGGGGCGAGGACGACACGGCGCUCACCGGCGUCCAUGCCAUGGAGGCAGAGGCAGCGAUGCGGGUGCCGGGGCGCGGUGUGUGCUCUUCUGGCGACGGCGUCGGUGCUCCUGGGAGCCAGGGGGCGUGGGCGCACCAGCAGUGGCGGCGGCUCGGGAAGGGAGGAGAGCGGCGGCUCGGGCUUUUAUACGCGUCGUGGCCUAGGGUUCCAGGGGUGCUAGGCGCUGCGGGCGGUGAUCCUCGGCGUCCGUGCCGUUGGGCAGGCCACGUGGCGCACAUCUAGCAGCAGCACGGGAGCCCAGGGCACGAGCGCGGCGCUGCAGGGGCGCGGCGGCGGGGCUCAGGAGGAGCAGGGGCGCGCUCUCCCUAGGGUUCGGGUGCCGGGGCGUCACUCCUGGGCCAAGCGCGGCUGGGCCCAGUUCUGGGCCGGGGUAGGUAGAUGGGCCGUGCGCAGGGGGCAGAGGGGGAAGGUGGGCCAGGCUGGGAGGAGAAGCCGACUAGGCCGUAGUGCACGGGAUGGGCCUGGGGUGCGCGGCUCUGGGCCUGGCAGGCCUCCAGCUGGGCUAAGGGGAAGGGGAGGGCGCCAGUUGGGCCAAGGGAAGGAGGCAGUGGGGGGGCUGGGCUAGUCAUUGCGAGCUGGGCCGAGGAGAGGAGGCAGGGGAGCUGGGCCGAUGGGGGUUGGCGAGGCCGAGGCCUGGCUGGGCUAGGAGAAGAAGUGGGAGGAAGAGGAAAGGUUUUGGCCCAAGAGAGAAAGAAUGCUUUCCCAAAUAUGACAAAGGAUUUUAAGGUUUAUUCAAAUGGAUAUUUGAAAUGAAUUCAGAGGAUUAUGUGAGAGAGAUUCAAGGAGAGAUUUGAAGGGGUUCAAGAGAGGAACCAAGCAGGCGAGAAAGAUCAUGAAGGGUUAGAAGGAGUUCGAAAGGAAUUGAAAGGAGUUUGAGACGUACUCCAACGAGAAGGUUGAGAAAGGAUUCGCUAUGGAUUUGUGCACUCCAAAGAAACUCAAAACCCUAAAUAAGACUAAACACUAAACCGACUCACGAACAAAGCACUUGCCUACAAGCAAUUCUAUAUGGAUGCAACGAUUUGUUAGCGGGUUAGGAUCGAUUUUUCACCUAGAAACUAUAUGAUUCACACAAUUCUAGGAAAAAUUUUAAAAAGCUCGUAUUUUUGGUUUACGCAAAAUUCUGGGAUGUUACACCAGGUUGUCGAAUGGGCGAACUGGUCGACCAGUCCCCGAGCAUAUCUUGCUCGGUGGUCCAUUAUAGUCCCCAGGUUGUCGAAUGGGCGAACUGGUCGACCAGUCCCCGAGCAUAUCAUGCUCGGUGGUCGGUACAGUCCCCAGGUAUAUCAUGUUCAUCUGACUAAAGAUCCUACAUAUUUUUUGAAAAAAUCGUAUCGCCAUAUUAAUGUGCGAUGUGACGGAGCGUCCUGCCAUCUUGUCAGUCUACUGCAUAAAAAGGGGGGCCUGCGAACUGUACAUCCGCUCAUUGCGGGGAUCAAGAAAGGAAACCAGCAAUUAUUAAAAAAUGGCCACCAAAUUUACUGUGAUAGCUCUUGAAAACCGAAAAGACCGCCCACUUCCCCAUAAUGCGGGAAGUGGUAGAGGUGGGGCUGUUGUUAUAAAAGAGCCCAAGGUCGCACCAUUGUUCUGUACCCAGCAGUCGCGCACAAGUAUCCAUACUUCAUCUUCAUCAGCACCUUCAAUCCCUCAAAUCCGGGUUCAAAGCUUUCCGCAAGAAGGAAAUGGCAAAGAGCGACGCGAAGAAGAGGGCCGAGAUGAUGGCCAAGGAGUUGAAGAAGUCUCGGAGCAACACGAGGUCCCUCAAUGACCUCGUCGAGAUGGGGCUCCUGCGCAAUCAGGAGCUCGGCGGAUGGAGAGCACCAGAAGGGGAGAGUUACCAAGACCCAACCAGGAUGCACCGGGAUAACUUGGAAAAAUCAGAGAUCUAGCGGCGGAUGAACGAGUUAUUCAACCUAGCUGACAAUUAGCUUCGUUCGAAGUGAUGACCGGAUGCAUGCCUUCAAGCUAGAGCGACCAGCUCCUAAGGUAAAUGAAUACCUUGGUUUAUUUGUAAUGCUAUUGAAUACUGUAUCCUUUGGCUGAUGACUUGUCGUCCUUGUAUCACAGAUAGGAGAUAUUGACCGGUGCACGGUCUAUGUGUCGCUGGCACCCGGUAUGGACCAACCGACUGUGGUAGACCCGCCGGCAGACGAUGUUGCUCGGUGUUUCCAAUACACCAGCAGCUGCGAGGACCAGAGCCGUCUAGCACUGACCACGGAUGACAGAGUGGCCGAGAAGAGGCCAAUGGCUGUGGAGCCAUCCUCUACGAAAGUAAUUCCAGUGGGGACGGCUGUAGAUCCUUCGAUGGGCCAAGGCUCGAGCAGCCAUGCCCCCAAGCAUUGCCGGCUUGUGAGGAUUGUCGACGACGACAACGAAGAGGAUGAGACGGCCCCGUCCUUGGUCCGGAGACCACACAGGCACCCUAACGUCGUGCCGAGCGACGCUGGUCCGGUAACCAGUGACCCGCGUGCUGCACACAUCAAGCCGAUACGUCCUGGAGGAACAGAAGCAGCAGUGGCGGCUGGGCGGACUAGGAGAAGGUUCUUCACGGCGGCGCACCGGAGCUCUGACCUGUAAGUUCGAAAAAGCGUCUCUACACUCUCUUUUCUUUCUUUUUUUUACGAGGUUUCAUGUUGGUAUGAUAAUUUACAUUAACUCUUCUUUAUUAGUGCGGCCUCUGAUGUUGAUCUGGGCAACGUUGCUGGCUUGAGGACAACCGAGCCAGCAGUUGCCGAUGAUAAUGCCACCGAGCAGACUGUCCGCGAGCAGCCUGUGGAGCAGCCCGCAGUUGCGGCUACGACAGAGGUUGCCGAGGAGGACCUAGCCCAAGACAAGGCCGGGGCAAGCACCCCAACAAGGGGCAACGAGACCGCGGGGACUCCUCCCCCGAGCAGUGCAGUAGAGGAGGCGGACAAGGUUCCAUCCCCUGCUCCGGCUGAAGAAGAGAGGGCCCCGACUCCGACCCCAGCCGAGGCUUCCACGCUGGAGGGCUCUCCUAGUCGAGGUAAGGGUCCUAUGAUACCCGUUACCAUGGUUGAGGGUGGCGCAGAAGGCGAGGAGGCCCAGGCGGCCUCCGAUGAUGAAGUAGAGGAGAUCCAGGGGCGUCCCCGCGAUGGUAGCCAACACAUUUAUGUGUGGCGCCAGCGCGGGGAUCACUGGGUCGGCCACGAGGAGAUCGUCGAGACUGAGGAGGCGGAGAGGGUGGAGCGCGCUGCUAAGCGGCUCAUCAAUGAAGUUAGGGUAAGUGUCCUUAUGAUCUGCUGAAGUAUAUGUAUAUAUGUACCAUGGUUUGUUCACUGUGUGGUAUGUUUGAUGUCCAUAGGAUGCAAUGAAAAUGGCGAAGUACAGAAAAAGGUGCUUCGACCAAAUCGAGGGUGUGGUCGCCGAGAACAAGGCCUUGACUGCAGAGGUGGACCGCCUUCGUCUGGAGGCCGAAAGGGAGGCGGCCGAGAAGGUGGCUCAGGAUGAUCGUCUGCUAGACCUGACUCGGUGACUAGCCGAUAAGGACCGUGAGAAAAGGGGUAAGUCGAGUGAUCUGAGCAGUUGCAAUUAACCGCGUGGUCGGUUUUGAUGACCAACAAUUAUUGCUUCAGGUCUGGAGGAGGAGAUCGAGCGUCUCUGAAAAGAGAGGGACCAGCUCGACCAAGAGCGUGCCAGUGCCCGGGAAAUCGAGCGCAAUGUUGGCGAGUAGCUGAAGACCAGGAGUCGAGUGCUGGCUUGUAAGAGCUGUUUUGUCCUUUUCGACCACACAGUUCUCUCACUUUUUUAUAUUGCCGUAGCAUGUUGCUGACUGUGUGCUUGGUUUUUCUUGAAAACUUUGUCAUAGUGCUUAAAGCCAACACUAAGAAGCACCUUGAUGAGCUGGUCAAGGAACGGGACUCCUGGAAGAUGAACUACAUCAAGCUCUAGAAAGGAGUUGCCCCAGUACUGGACCUGAUCAGCCCCGAGCUCCUCGAGGACCAGCCCCGCACACCGAAACUUACCCCGGUCGAGAAGGCGCAGCAAGCGUGGGGCUGGCUUUAGCAGUUCAUCAAGGAUGCCGGGGAGUUUGCCGGAGCACACGGCCUCAGCAUGGUACGCGCUCACUACCCCCUGGUCGAUCUGUCCUGGCUAGAGAGGGGAUAUCCAAAGGAGGUUGGUCCGAAGGAGGCAGAUGACCUUCGCAUCGGCCUACUCGACCUAUCGUCGACGGUGAUCGGUGAUAUAAAUCUCUGCGAGACGUCAACCCCCCCGAUCAGCCGGGAUCAGACAUGUCGGCCAAGGAGUUGUCGGGGGCGUCGAUUGCAGGAGAUGGGCGGUCAACGCCUGCGGUCUCGACCAGCCAGGCGCCGGUGGCCCCGAACCCUUCGGCGGGACGAGAGAGCCGUGGGGGUGAUCAGCCCGAGCAGUAGGUUCGUAGAGUAGUCUAUAGGAGUAGUCUAGAAGCCGCCCAGAGGGGUGUUUAUUGUAAACUUUGUAUAUAAAGUAUGUAAUAAAGUCCAAAUUUUGAGAACCAUGGUUUUGAGCGUUGUAAAUAAAUUCACUUGUGUGAUGUAUCACUAAAUCAUGUUGAUUGCCCUUGAGUAGCUUGUCAAGGAAAGUUAUUGUAGCACUUGUUGAGUAUUCUGCAUAUGUAAAAGUAUAUAGCAAAAAAGACAAACUUUAUUAUUAUUCAUCAAAAAAGAUUUACAAGUAAAAUGUACUGAAACUUAGGGAUAGAAGCGUCGUAGUUUGUCUAUGUGCUAGGAGUAGGGUAGGCUUGUUCCAUCUGGGUACGCCAGUCUACAAGAUGUAGGGCGUGUAACUUCAGCGACCAUAAAAGGUCCCUCCCAGGGUGUAGAUAACAUGUGCAUUCCCUCCUGGCUUGUUUUCCAUUUGAGUACCAGAUCAUAGACCACGAAGGAGCGGUCUUUGAUGUUCUUGUUGUGGUAUCGUCUAAUGGCCUCGAGAUACUUUGCUGUUCGAAGGCAAGAAGUCAGGCGUCUCUCUUCUGUAUAGUUGAUUUCGAGUUCUCUGGCGAGGUCUACAGAAGACUGGUCGAAAUGUUCGACUCGUGGAGAUCCAAAGGCUACGUCCGAGGGGAGCACUACCUCGGCCCCAUAAACCAUAAAAUAGGGGGAUAAACCCGUGUUCCGACUAGGCUGUGUUCGAAGACCCCAGACCACUGCCGGUAACUCUUUCAUCCAACGCCCUGGUGCCCUGUCAUUUUCCAUGUACAGCCUUUUCUUUAGAGCAUCAAUAAUCAUUCCAUUUGCUCGCUCGACUUGACCGUUGGCUCGCGGAUGUGAUACCAACACAUACUUUAUGACUAUGCCUCUGUCAUCACAGAAGUGCCAGAAUGUAGUGCCGGUGAACUGAGUGCCCAGGUCGGUGAUUAUGCUAUUGGGAACCCCAAAUCUAUGUAUGAUUUGAUUGAGGAAUUCCACAGCCUUCUCGGAAGUCGCUUUGACCAGUGGCAUGUACUCGAUCCACUUUGAGAACUUAUCGAUUAGCACGAACACGAAUUUGAAAUUGUCGGGAGCCGGUUUGAAUGGCUCGAUCAUGUCAAGACCCCAACAGGCAAAUGGCCAAGACGACGGAAUCGUCUGGAUGUCAUGAUCAGGUACAUGGGUCCGUUUGGCGAAGAACUGGCAUCCUUCGCAAUGCCAGACUAGUUUCUCGGCGUCGGAGACUGCGGUUGGCCAGUAAAAACCUGCUCAGAAGACCUUUCCGACCAGUGUUCUAGAGGUGACGUGGUUGCCACAGGAUCCAGCAUGUAUGUCAUCUAGUAGCUUGAUGUCAUCGUCUUGAGUUAUGCACUUCAAAAAGACUUCUAAGUUUGCGUUCUUACGCAUAAGUCUACCAUCGACCAGUAUAUAAUUUUUGGAGCGCCGGAUAAGGCGCUCGUUUUCUAUUUUGUCUUGAAAUCCCUAACCGUCCGAGAGAUACUUAACGAAAGGAGCGCUCCAGUCGUUGCCAUUGGUUGUCGGAGCGGUGUUUCCUACGAGCAGCGUCUCGUUGUGUGGCUUGUCGACCAGGUCCGUUCCAACGCUAGGUGUGUGAAUGUCUUGAACAAAGACACCUUGCGGAAUCUGGGCCUCGGAUGAUCCUAUCUUUGACAGUGCAUCUGCUUCUUGAUUCUUGUCUCGGACCACGUGGAUGUAUUCUAUGCCAUAAAAAUUUGAUUCCCAUCUUCGGAUUUCUUUGUAGUACAGGUCCAUUAUCUCAUGGGUCGUGUCCCACUCCUUAUUUAACUGGUUAAUGAACAGAGCGGAGUCGCCAUAGACAUAAAGGCGCUUGACUCCUAGUUCGACGGCCAAUCGGAUGCCGUGCAGGCAUGCUUCGUACUCAGCGACAUUGUUGGAUGCCGGGAAGAGGAUCCUAAGGACGUAGCGUAGUUUGUCCUUGUUUGGUGAAAUGAAAAGGAUGCCAGCACCAGCGCCAUUGAUGUUUAAAGACCCGUCAAAGAACAUUGACCAGUGAUCGAAGACAUCUGGGGAGGGUGGUGCGUUGAGAUCCGUCCAUUCUGCGAUGAAGUUGACCAGGGCUUGAGACUUGACGGUUGUUCGACCCUGGAAAUCUAAUGAAAAUGGACAUAACUCCAUGGCCCAUUUAACAAUCCUGUCGUUGGCGUCCUUGUUGUGCAGGAUGUCCCCCAACAGGAAACUUGUGGUAACUAAGACGCGAUGGCCAUUGAAGUAGUGCUUCAGCUUCCUUGAAGUAAUUAAGAUGGCGUAGAUUAAUUUUUGUAUCUGGGGAUACCUAGUCUUAGACUCAUUUAAUAGUUUAUGAAGUAUACUAGUCUCUGAACUUUGUAGACGUGGCCUGGUUCAUCCCUCUCGACCACGAGCACCGUGGAAACGACCCGAUCAGUUGCUGCUAUAUAAAGGAGCAGGUCCUUGUUAGGUUGAGGUGCGGUGAGGACGGGUGGUGAGGUGAGGAAAGCUUUGAGCUGGGUGAACGCAGCGUUGACCUCUUCUGUCCAGGAGAAUUUUUCCGAUGCUUUUACAAGUCUGAAGAAGGGAAGCCCUUUUUCCCCCAGCCUAGAGAUAAACCGGCUGAGAGCAGCCAUGCACCCCUUGAGCUUUUGAACGUCUUUGACAUUCCUGGGUGGUCGCAUAUGGAGCACCGCCUUGACUUUUGAGGGAUGUGGCCGUAUGUGUUGAUGGUCCUUAAGUACCAAAUAUAGUCAUCAAAUAAAUAAAGAAAAGGAUCCAAAUGCAACCAACACCCAGACUUAGGGUUGUAUCUGACAGAAUUCCAUAAGUUUUGGUGUUUGUCUAUUUCUACAGGGGGUUAUCAAAAAAAUAUGGAGGAAAGGCCCACACGUCGGGUUUACAUAGAGAUAUUAACGUGCUGCGUAAUUUUCUAUCAUCUAGAAGAGUCCAGAAGCCACGGGAACGAACGGGAGGCCGAACGGGCCCGGGGGCAGGGCGCCCGCCCUCCCCCCUUGGUCGCCCGCCCUGGUACAAGCACCAAUCACAGAAUGGAGUACACCAUUACAAAGAUCUCAUCGAGCUGAUCGAAUUGCAUAUAUUAUUUGCUAUAUUUGGAGUUCAGAAUCAAGAUAUAUUAAUAAAAGAAGGACUCCACAUAAAAGAGCUGCAGGAUUAAUUGGGCCCAAAUCAGAUUUUGGUCCAUUAAGGCCUAUGUGCAUUUUAAUGAGAUAAGGUGGAAAGUUUAGUACCACAUCGCCUGCUGAACCAAAAAGGCACAAAGGAGGAGGCUAUAUAAGCAAGGCACCUGGCCCCUAGAGGAGAACACAUCAUUAUAGAGUUGAGAGGUGACCUCGAAGGAUAACCUUUCCUCUAUAUAGAAUUAGGGCUUAGCAUCCAAUGUGAGAUUUGAAUUAGUUUUCUAAGUUCUUCUAGAUUGAGAGAGAUAGAGUGGAGGUGUAGAUCAGAGGAAGCCCGACCUGUCGGUGUCUACUCUGAGGUUGUACCUACGGGAUCAAGUCUCCUAACCCGAGGCUUGCUCCUUGGAUUCUUCAGUAUUUCAACUUCUAAAUUCUAGUAAGUUCUUAUUCUUAUUGUUCUUUGGUUUAUGAGUUUACUUUAAUCUCUUCCCGUUGAGUUUAGAGUAAUCAUUGCUAGCAUAAACGUGGUGUUUGGGCUAGGGUACUCAUAGAUAUCCCCUGUCUAGCCAGACCGUGGUAGUAGCGAGGAACGUGACAUUUCCGAGUUACCGUUGUAGCCCACAUCCCGUUAGAAGGAUCGAUAGGGAUUAUAGGUGCGGGUCGAACAUCCUUUGUGGUGUCUAGAUUCCGUAAGCCUCCCCAAUAGAAUAGUAGAUCAUCCUUACCAAGGUUAGAACGAGAUUACGGUUGUAGUCUUCUCUAUACAUCGCUCACAUCGAAUCACAUUGUUUGUAGCAUAAAGGGUAGUAGCAAUAGAUUUGGUUAGUCAGAUGCACGCUUUCUCCCAGUGGUAAAAAUAUAAAUAUGAUGCUCUGGAUAACCUUCCGGGUGAAGUGCUCACCGAUAUUCGUGCACUUGCGGAUCAUUUCCCGAUGGCGUUACCAAAUAUCAACAAGCAUUUCUGGUGCCGGGGAGAAAGACGGUUUGCUGAGAUAACUUUAAGUCUUGCUAUUAUCUUGUAUUAUACUUUUAUUCUUUUAUCUUUUUAUUUUUUCCAUCUUUAUGGAUAAGUCAAAUUCCACACCUAUUAUUGAAUUUUUUACACCUUCGAAGACCAGCUAUAGACCAUGGGAGUCAACGAGUCCUUUCGUUGCCCGUAAUUAUGAUCUGUGUGCGGAGUUGAUUGCAAUAGGUCAAAACCAACCCUUUUCUAUAGCCGAGUUCCUAUCUUUUAAUCAAUAAGAUAAUGAACUUUUAGCUACACAUAGGGAAUCUUUUAAUCUUUCUAUAAAUUCUAGUUUAGACCUAGCCCUAUGAGACCAUGUUUUUCCUCGAUAUUUUCAGAUUGGUCUUAAUCAUAUAACCUUUGGUAGAGUUUUUCUUUCUUUAUUUGUUAGUAAAGCAAGGUAUGUCUUCAUUCGUGGACAUCCUUCUUGCACUAGACUUCAUAAAAAAUCCUAGAGAUAGAGAAGGAAUCAUCUCCCAGACGAGGAAAGAAAGUUUCAAUAGCCGAUUUCCAAACAUUUCAAUCCCAUGAUUCGGCUAUCCAACCCAAACUAGUAGUGCUCCAAAAUCAUCUAAGGGAAGAAGAAAUUCUACCUUUGGAAAUUCAUUUUGGGAUGAGCUUAAACUUCCUGCUUCAUAAGAGACCUUUGAGUGCAUAUAGUCUGAACCUUCCUAAGAAAGGAUCUCUUAGAAAGCAUCUCAAAUCCAAUCCCUUUGAUGAACAUCUAGAAAGACUCAAGGAUGGCAUCUUAAGUAAUGCAAUAGAAGGAGAGCGAAGCCAUUUAGAAGACAAUCUCAUCUUCUCCCCUUCUAUGCCCACUUUUGAUGACUCAUUUGAACCUAUCUUUAAACCCAUCCUUGAGCUUAAUAAUUUCUACUAUGCUCUUUCUCUUUUACCUCUCGAUGAUCCUAUGAAUCCCUCUAGACAUCCCAUGCAUAAGUGUCACCAAGACCACAAGGAGGAUCGAGAAGAGCAACAUCAAUGGCUGGAGGGCAUUAAAAAUCCAUGUGCUAUCACCAUUGAAAGGAUGGAUAAAACAAACUUGACAGACAAUCCUAGAGGAAUUUUAAGCAUUCAUGAAGAAUCAUCCUUGGGGUUUGAGAAGAGAGAAACAACAGUGAGCAUGGAAGUUAUUUCAUAAAUACCUCACCAAGUCCUUGCUCAUAUAAAACAUCUCCCCAAUCAAUUGGUCCCUCCAACCUUACCACAUAUGAGAUCUCCAGCCCCCUCUUCCUAUCUAUUUAUAAAUACUUUAAAAGGGCGGUUGUCGAUGUAUAUGUCUAUAAUAAAUAUUGCAGAUCUCAUUAUAGGUCAGUGUUGGAGGGGAAACCACUUCACCAACAUAAUUUGAUGGUUUCCCAAGGACAAGCUUAGCGUCCUAAAACAAGCACUUAUCAGAUCGUAACAUGAACUUUUAAUUAUUUACAAUAUUGCCUUGUGUAUUGAGCAUAUAAGGAUAAUUGUAAAAAUAUUCCUUCGGGUAUUCGUGUCACUAACCUUUCUAGGAUUCGAGCAAGAAGAUCCAAGGAAUGAUAAACGCAAGGUAUGCCCAACCAAUCAUCAUGCAACAUUGAAUUAAAUUCAUCCAAUCUUGAAUUUUGCAAAAUUCAAACUUGGGGGAAAUACCUUACAUAAAAACAUCAUUUGCCAUGUUGCUAUGUUGGUUGUCCUUACCUUUGAGACAUGCUCAGUUUGUUAAAUACUAAUCACACUACUUCAUCUCCACUUGAGUAGAUCUCUAUAAAAGCCAUCACGCUACCUUUGUUUAUCCUAGUAAGUGUUGGUUUGGAAGUACUGCACAUACUUCUAUUGGCUUUUAAAUUAAGCAUGGUGCUUAGGUUAAACAGCCUUCCUUAAUUUGAUUAGACAUGGAGUCUAGUUCGGUUAUUGAACUAAAAACUGCUUGAGUAGACAUUGGUAUAUUUUGUUGGACUAACCCCUACAGAAAAAAUCUUUCAAUAUCGAUUUGGGAAGACCUGAGAUAAACUCGCAUCAGAUAUAAAGAGAAAGACACAUGAAGUUUAACAAUUUGCACAAGAAGGACAUAGCUCAUUCAUCAUAGAGAGAUGAUCCAUGGAAUGAGACAAAGUACAUAAACAAGAUACACAACCAUUAUGAAUGAGAAGCUUCCACAAGGUUAUACUGUACCAUCACUCUUCAAGUAAGGUAAUAUCUUAAGGUACUUGACUAUCACUUUUAUAAGCUUCUCCUUGGUUCUGGCGUUCACAUGAAUAAAGAGACAAACAUAAAUUAACCAACCCAAUUAAUUCAACAUGUUUAGUCAUUUAAUCUUUGUUCCUAGUACUACCUCCAUGAUCCUACACUCCUAAUCAUAUGAGCUAAAAUGUUGCACAUUCAAUCUUUGGGAAGAUAUAAAGAAAAAGACAUAUACAUAGAUAGAUUAUCUUUCCAUAAGGUUGAGCGAUCUAAUCUGACAAAUGUUUUAAAUGCUACACUCAUGAACUUAUCACCCAUCAACUUUGUCUUGCUCCCUAUGCUUAAAGAUAGAGGAGAAUAAAUAUACUUUUGGUUCUAUUGGUGUUUUCCACCAACAGGGCCCAUGCACUUGAUCUCUGUCUUGUCUCUAUGAGCAGGUACACUUUGAGCAAAACCUGAAGGAGUUUUACAACUCCCAGAUUCCACCAAGUGAAGGACGUGGAUCUACGAGCACAAACACACUGAGCAAGAUACUGCCGAUGCCGCAGCCCGAACUGCUGGACAAACGAAGAACAUGGGUGACGCCGUAUCAAGAGGUGCAGAUGUCGAGGCCCGCACCUAAUCAAAUGAUGCACCUAAAGGAUGAACACGGUGAGAAGUCUUGUACAGAAGACUUAGAACAUUGGAUCCUUGCCGGAAGAGGUCAAGAUCGUCGACUCAAGUCGCCCUUCCUGAUCAAGAAGGACGACCUUGGUGUUCCAAGCAUCGAGUGCACAAUCAACGGAUACUCUUUUCAGAAGACACUCUACGACAUCGGAUCUGACGUCAACAUAAUGGCCGCAGUCACUUAUCAGCUCCUACAUGGAACCAUGCCCCUACAACCAACAUAUAUUCACCUCCGGAUGAUUUUCAGGUCAUUGACAUGGGAGAAGACGAGUACGAUCCACCCAUCAUCCUUGGAAGACCAUUCCUCAACAAUAUCAAAGUUAUCAUCUAUAUUGGAACCGAAGAAGUCCACAUGCACUUCCCCUCUGAGAAGGUACGCCACUACUUUAAUGAUUCUAACUAUAUAGUUGAAGAUUCUAAGCAGAUUAGGAUGAGAAGAAGGCGACGCAACCGAAACUAGAGGAGGCAAAUCAUCAAGGAUGGAUGGGCAGACUACAAAGGAGAUGUAAUAUGGUCCAAAGAUAUACAUCUUGAACAGGAUUGUCCAGAGGAGACCGUAGCACCAAAUCAGGUAUGGAUAGAGAAGAGAGUUGUACUAGAAGAGGAGGCGCCGCCGGAAUCCUAGGAUGACUGAAAACACAAGGAGUCCUAUUCGGAAGACUUAAAAACACUGAACACCGUGCCAAGAGGUAAACUUGGUAGUUGUCAUUUUCCUUUCGAAUUAUUUAUUUUCCUUGAAUACCUUGUUUAGUUAAUCGGGUUCAUACUAUCUUCAAAAGGAAAAUAAAAAUGCUAAAAAACAGUAAGCCCCAUGUGAGUAUACGAGUGGCGUAAAACCCAUAAGUACAUUCACUGUGGUGGCAUAAAAAUAAAAUAAAUAUUUUUUCUGCUCUAUAAAAAUGAAAAUAUAAAAAUAAGAUUAUGAUCCUACCAAGUUAUAUUUAUUAGGAGGAAUCUCAAUAUGAUAAAGGCUAAGAGAUUUUAUGCUAACACUUAACCAGUUCCACAAAGCUUUGUUGUCUAUUUGACCUCCACAGAAUCCAAGGAUCAAAGAAGACUAGUAGACGGAGGACAUCCUAAUCGCUGUCAGGGUGCUGCCGACAUUCAAAUACACCUCCGCCACCUGCUAGCUACAUCAGAAGAAAUUACGUCAAAAUCCAGCUUGGGGGAGAGCACCCCCAUUUAUCUAGCUAAGUGUUUCUACUCGCGUUUAUACUUUACCCAAAUAAAAAUUUUGUGCUUAUAUAUAUCUUUGCUUAGUUUGCUAAAUAAAUAAAUAAAGUGUCUAGGCCAAAGUGAACUUAAACGAUAAACUCUUACAUGGAUAUGAUAAAUAGUUGCUCUACCAUGUACCUAGUUUUCAAGUUUAAGCUCUCUCUCUCGUUUAGGCAUAACUGUUAUAAUUUAAAUCUGCUCUAAACCUGAACUUAUGGGAAGAGUACUUGAUAUAAAGUCUAAGUUGUUAACGGAUAUGAUAUGGUAAGGUUGAGCUACUGUUUUUCUGUUCCUAGAGAUGCUAGAAUUCUAGAGAAUUUUAUCUUUGAAAAUCUUUAAAAUAACACAUGAUGAGUUCCUGUAUGAUGAGAGUUUAAAUUCCUUCCACACCCAUAUAUACAUGCUUGCUAGACUUUGAGCCACACAUUUACUUUUUACUGCUUAGGAGCAUUGAGUGUGGUCAAGCUGUGUAGACCCUUAGGAGCUUGUCAUGUGGUUAAAAUCAAGAUUCACUUGCACGUUCACUCACACAUGCUACUUCUACUCCGGAAGUACGCAUUCACAUACAUCCACUCACUUCAAUCUCCACAGCCACCCAAAAGUAUUCUACUCCUAAUCCAGGAGAGAAUAGCCAAAAAUAUUUAUGUUUUUCCCUGUGAAAUAAAUGCUCGAGUUAUCUUGGUUACUACCACUUGCUAUAUUAUUUCAGGAGAUGAGUGCUCUAAAAAAAGAGGAUACGAGGAAAUAAAAAGGGGCAAGUGCCCGGAACCUCGAAGAAAAGAAAAAGUAAGACAAGAUGUAAAAAUGGACAAGUGUCCGACAGUAGAAUUAGGAGUACAAGAUACCCACCUAAGAGGAAACAAAAAGAAAAUAUAGAGCAUCUCAUUCUCCUCAAAAAGCUUCAAAGUGCAAGAAAGGUAUGUAUCCUCUUAAAAGAGCAAAAGUAAAAUUAGAUUUUCACCAUUGUUAUCACCAUCAUCACCAUACACCAUUCACUCACCACACAUGCACAUCUUGAUUUGACUUAUUGACUUGUUCUUCUGGAUCCAUGGUUUGACUAUGCAAUAAAUGUCUUGUAAGUAUGUAUUAUCUGUCUCCCACCUAUAAGCUCCAGAUAUCAAAACCUUAUUAGAGUAGGGUGAGAGAGAAGGCAAUACCACUAUGCCUCAUACCAAAAACACCAC
rnacentral:lncRNA from 1 species